CACGGGGGGAGCAAGCGUUGUUCGGAAUCACUGGGCGUAAAGAGCGCGCAGGCGGCUUGGCAAGUCGGGUGUGAAAUCCCGGGGCUCAACCCCGUGACUGCAUCCGAUACUGUCAGGCUAGAGGUAGGUAGGGGAGAUCGGAAUUCCUGGUGUAGCGGUGAAAUGCGCAGAUAUCAGGAGGAACACCGGUGGCGAAGGCGGAUCUCUGGGCCUUACCUGACGCUCAGGCGCGAAAGCUAGGGGAGCGAACAGG
rnacentral:rRNA from 1 species